UGCUUUUGUUUACUUCAGACCACUAAACCA
rnacentral:piRNA from 1 species